rnacentral:rRNA from 1 species
GACGAACGCUGGCGGCGUGCUUAACACAUGCAAGUCGAACGGAAAGGCCCUGCUUUUGUGGGGUGCUCGAGUGGCGAACGGGUGAGUAACAAGUGAGUAACCUGCCCUUGACUUUGGGAUAACUUCAGGAAACUGGGGCUAAUACCGGAUAGGAGCUCCUGCUGCAUGGUGGGGGUUGGAAAGUUUCGGCGGUUGGGGAUGGACUCGCGGCUUAUCAGCCUGUUGGUGGGGUAGUGGCUUACCAAGGCUUUGACGGGUAGCCGGCCUGAGAGGGUGACCGGCCACAUUGGGACUGAGAUACGGCCCAGACUCCUACGGGAGGCAGCAGUGGGGAAUAUUGCACAAUGGGCGGAAGCCUGAUGCAGCAACGCCGCGUGCGGGAUGACGGCCUUCGGGUUGUAACCCGCUUUCGCCUGUGACGAAGCGUGAGUGACGGUAAUGGGUAAAGAAGCACCGGCUAACUACGUG